UUUUUUUUUUUUUUUUUUUUUUUGCCAUUUCUAGGGCUGCUCCCAUGGCAUAUGGAGAUUCCCAGGCUAGGCGUCUAAUCGGAGCUGUAGCCGCUGUAGCCCUCCAAUCAGACCCGUAGCUGCCAAGCCUACACCAAAGCCACAGCAACAUGGGAUCCGAGCCACGUCUGCAACAUACACCACAGCUCACGGCAACGCUGGAUCCUUAACCCACUGAGCAAGGCCAGGGAUCGAACCUGCAACCUCAUGGUUCCUAGUCGGAUUCCUUAACCCCUGAGCCAAGACGGGAACUCCUGAUUAUUUGCUUAAAAUGUGGUCCUUGAGAUUGACUUGCUGGGUUGGAACCUGCCCGUUUGUGAUGCUUUGGCCCAAUGUUCUCCAGGAGGAUUGUACAAUGUCACAAAUCUACUAGCAGCAUAAGACAGUGCUAAUCCCCCAACUGAUACGAAGAUAGGGUAUCACUAUGUGCUUCCUCUUUAUCCACCUUGGAUGGGAGGUGGUAUUUAUGUUUCUAUUGUCUUUGAGAGAAUAACAAGUUGCUUUGAGGCAGCAACUCCCAAACAGUCACAUGAAAGAUGCUUCAUAAGUACUUUACAAAUGAUGGACGGAUCGGGGGAGAACAAGUGACAUUACACGGGACGCCUUCUGGACUUGAGUCAGACUGGCUGGGUUCAAACUCUGGUUCCAGACUUCCUAUCGUGGCUAGCAUCCAUGAGGACGUGGGUUCGAUCCCUGGUCUCGCUCAGUGAGUUAAAGAUCUGGCGUUGCUGUGAGCUGUGGCGUAGGUCACAGAUGCAGCUCAGAUCCUUCGUCGUUGUGGCUGUGGGGUAGACCAGCAGCUACAGCUCUGAUUCAACCCCUAACCUGGGAACUUCCAUAUGCCGCAGGUGUGGCCCUCAAAAGACAAAAAACAAAACAAAACAACAAAACCAACUCUGAUUCCGCUACCUAAGGUUAGUGCAAUCACAGACAAGCCACGUACUUGAUUGUUUCAGUUCACGCAAUUGUGACUUGGAGACUGAAUUUCCUACAUCAUGUGAUUAUUGUGAUAUAAAUGAGAUGCUGUGCCUUAAAACAAGGCUAAAAGCAUUGAAAAAGCAAUGUAUACGGUAAAGUGCUCAAAUAGCACAGCAGGUUCUAUUUAUAAAAAGACCCCUUCUCACCCACCCUGACUGCACUCCCAUCCCAGGAGUAACACAGUUUAACUUUGCCUCCUUCUGGAGAUUCUUCUCCUUGCUGGCAAGAAACAAAGUUAUCAAUAAAACCAGAUUCGUGAAAUACUCAGAUGUUGAAAGAUUCUAGAGGAGGGAGUUCCAGUAGUGGCUCAGUGGAAACAAAUCUGAAUAGCAUCCAUGAGGACACAGGUUCGAUCCCUGGCCUCGAUCAGUGGGUUAAGAAUCUGGUGAUGCCGUGAGAUGUGGUGUAGGUUGCAGAUUCGGCUGGUGUCUAGCAGCGCUGUGGCUGUGGUGUAGGCUGGUGGCUACAGCUCCGAUUUGACCCCUAGCCUAGGAACUUCCAUAUGCCACAGGUGCAUAUUUAGGUAUAGCCCUGAGAAACAGACAAACAACAAAAAAAGUGCAUCGUUCUACACAUGGUGAAUGCAAACCUGCUUUUUUCCCACUGGCUACACCAUGAACAGCUGCAUGUGUCAAUAAACAGGGCUGCACGGUGUCCCUUUUGGGGCUUCCUGGGAUGUGAGCACAUCUCUGUGUAGCAAAUUUCACCAGCCCUCUUUUUUAUUUAUUUAUUUAUUUUUUUGUCUUUUUUCCACUUCUUGGGCCGCUUCCACGGCAUAUGGAGGUUCCCAGGCUAGGGGUCGAAUCGGAGCUGUAGCUGCCUGCCUUCGCCAGAGCCACAGCAACGCGGGAUCGGAGCCACGUCUACGACCUACACCACAGCUCACGGCAACGCUGGAUCCUUAACCCACUGAGCAAGGCCAGGGACCAAACCCACAACCUCAUGGUUCCUAGUCGGAUUCGUUAACCACUGCGCCGUGACAGGAACUCCUCACCAGCCCUCUUUGGGUGAUGCUCAGGUUGCUGCCAUUGACCUGCAAUUACAUCACAGCCACAAUGAGAGUCCUACUCAAUUAUUUGCUUUGGAGAGGUUCUCAGAUGUCAGUUGCCAGGUAAAGGGCCUGCGUGCUCUUCAAGGCUCCUACACAGGUUGUCAAACUGCUUCUCCGAGGGCAUCUCCUAAGUGCUGCUGGUUUACGGCAGGCUGGAGGUUCUCGCUCCUCACCAGCCCAGACAUCAGGGGCUCGUUCGCCCUCUGCCAAUUUGAUGCUGAGCUGGUUUCUCUCCUCCUCUUACACGUCUCGCCUUUCACAAUGCUGCGGAAGAGAGUACGUGCUCCCGUCUGCGUUCUCCAAACCUCGGCAGCUGACCAUCAUCCCUCCUGGCUAGAAGUCAGCCAGGCCAGCCUGCGGCAUAAAGACUCUAAAUCCCAGCUUGCCCUGCAGACACGUGGGGCAAAUGAGGCUGCACCAGGGGAUGCUGGGAUUUCCCUCCUGCUGUGGCCUGGGUCACUGAGGCUGGCAGGUGUGGAGGUGGGCAGGUGAGGCUGAGUCACUGGGACACUGGGUGUGGUUUCCUGGAUCAGCUCCAGAGUUGACACGAAGGUUCCAGUAACGGGUGGCUGAACUGGGCUAAUUGCUGCUGGUGCUGCCCUAGCCCAGCCCUGCACGUAGCAAAAAAGAGGAGGAGGGAGGGGGAAGGGAGGAGGGGGAGGAGGGAGGAGAGGAGAUCACUGGGAAGCACCCAUGAAACCAGCUCUGAUGGAAACCAACCCCCCGGCGUGUUUCUCACCCUGCACCCUGAGGCCAUUAGGAUUGCAGGCACUUGGGCAGCUGGACAUGUGCGGGGCUCCGUGCCUCUCAGAGCAGAGUCAGCUGUGGGGCUGAGGAAAGAAGGUCAGGACACCAGGGUUGGAACCCUGGUCUCCUGCACUUACAGGCCCUGAAAUGUGGCUGGUUCCUAACCCUCUGCAGCCUGUUUCCGUUGUGAGGGGUCCAGCCCUCCUCACAGACCUGCCAGGGGGUUGACGUGCCUUUGUCUCGGGAUUUCUUGGGCUCUGUGGUUCGGGGGUGGCCUCUCCCCUCUGCGCCCCUGCACUAGCCCGGGGCUGGGCCUACAGCAGACCCUCAGUGGGCACUAACUUGACAGCUGCCUGGUCCCUAGUGGGCACUUCUUCAGGAGUCCACAUAGCUCAGGUUCUGCACCGCAGGCUGUGUAGUUUGGAGCAGGUUGCCUCCCGCCUCUGAGCCUCUGAGCCUCAGUUUCUUCAUCUGGGUUUGUUGGCCUGGAUCUGGCACUCUGUUCUGCAGCUGCAGUAGAGGUUAUGCCGCUGGGGCUCACUGGGAACAGGCGCCAGGCAGGGGCGGCCUCCAAGCCCAGCCCCACACUCCAGGGGGCACGGGUGCCCUUGAUGUGUCUCGGGUUAAGAUCUUGAGGUGAGAAAGUGUGAUGCUUUCUUUUCUUUUUUUUUUUUUUUUUAGUCUUUUUGCAAUUUCUUGGGCCACUCUUGUGGCAUAUGGAGUUCCCAGGCUAGGGGUCUAAUUGGAGCUGUAGCCACCGGCCUACACCAGAGCCAUGGCAACACCGGAUCCUUAACCCACUGAGCAAGGCCAGGGAUCGAACUCACAACCUCAGGGUUCCUAGUUGGAUUCGUUAACCACUGCGCCACAACGGGAACUCCGAAAGUGUGGUGCUUUUUAGCAAGAACUGGGGGCACUGGUGCCAUCCAAGGCCCUCAUGGUGAGCGUGGCCAACCGGGUUUGCACACUCACGCGUGACCCCCAUCACCUGUUUACUGUCUGGCAGCCCCACCCAGUGAGCCAUCAGUUUGCAGGUAGUGGGGUGCAGAGCUUGCUGUCAGAGCAGUAGGUGGGGGCAGGCACAGAUGUUUCCACAUGGGAGUGGAGCACAUCCUGCCUCUGGGCCACAGAACUAGGGUUCGGAGGUGACCGUGCGGCUGUGUGGGGACACACGAUUCGGCCUCUGCAGCCUGGGGUCCAGCGAAAGAGCUGGUUCAACACAGCCCCACCUGGUUUUUAACAGAAGCCACCACCACGCCAUUAUUAUGUGAACAUUUUUCUGAUUUUAAGAAUUUGGCAGAGGGCAUUCCCGUCGUGGCGCAGGGGAAGCAAAUCCAACUAGGAACCAUGAGGUUGCGGGUUUGAUCCCUGGCCUCACUCAGUGGGUUAGGGAUCCGGCGUUGCCGUGAGCUGUGGUGUAAGUCCCUGACGCGGCUCAGAUCCUGUGUUGCUGUGGCUGUGGUGUAGGCCAGCAGCUGUAGCUCCGCUUGGACCCCUAGCCUGGGAACCUCCAAGUGCCAUGGGUGUGGCCCUAAAAAGACAAAAGACAAAAAAAUAAAAUAAAAAGAAGAAGUAGUUGGCAGAGUUCCCAUUAUGGCCCAGGAACUGACUG
rnacentral:lncRNA from 1 species